rnacentral:rRNA from 1 species
GACGAACGCUGGCGGCGUGCUUAACACAUGCAAGUCGAACGGAAAGGCCCUGCUCUUGUGGGGUGCUCGAGUGGCGAACGGGUGAGUAACACGUGAGUAACCUGCCCUUGACUUUGGGAUAACUUCAGGAAACUGGGGCUAAUAUCGGAUAGGAGCUCCUGCUGCACGGUGGGGGUUGGAAAGUUUCGGCGGUUGGGGAUGGACUAGCGGCUUAUCAGCUUGUUGGUGGGGUAGUUGCUUACCAAGCCUUUGACGGGUAGCCGGCCUGGGAGGGUGACCGGCCACAUGGGGACUGAGAUACGGCCCAGACUCCUACGGGAGGCAGCAGUGGAGAAUAUUGCACAAUGGGCGGAAGCCUGAUGCAGCAACGCCGCGUGCGGGAUGACGGCCUUCGGGUUGUAAACCGCUGUCGCCUGUGACGAAGCGUGAGUGACGGUAAUGGGUAAAGAAGCACCGGCUAACUACGUG